UAGACUUCCCUUGUUUACCUUAUCGUUUGACUGAGACCUGAGUGGGCAGACUGUGGGAGGCCAGUAGUCCCAAGAGGAGCUGACAGAUGCCUUUGGACAAACAAGCAACAUGAAAGCCAGCACCUUGGAUCCCCUUAUCUUUCAGUCAUUGGCUGUGGGCUGCCCUGGGGUGGGUGAGGAAGGGGCUGUAACUUCUCAGCCAAGGCAGAGCCUGUUGGUCGAGGACAAUUCCCCAGAGAAGCAGGGCAUCUCGGAUCCAUUGGCGGCCACACUCACAGCAGCUUGGGGGGACACGGGUUCGAGCCCUAGUCCGGGAAGAUCCCACAUGCCGCGGAGCAGCUAAGCCUGUGUGCCACAACUACUGAGCCUGCGCUCUAGAGCCCACGUGCCACAACUACUGAAGCCCGCAUGCCACAACUACUGAAGCCCAUGUGCCUAGAGCCCAUACUCUGCAACAAGAGAAGCCACCACAGUGAGAAGGCUGUGCACCACAACAAAGAGUAGCCCCUGCUUGCUGCAACUAGAGAAAGCCCGUGUGCAACAACAA